UUGUAUCUCGUGCGUGGUAGUAGUUAAGAUUAAAAGCCUAACUAGCUAUAUGCACGUAGUCGUAACUGAAAGGUUGAUCGACCACAGUGGGCCUGAAUAAAGCCCAUGACGAUUGUCACAGCAGUGAGGAAUAUUGGUCAAUAGCCUAACGGCUGAACCAGCAACUUGGAGGAAUGUAUAGGAUGCAAGAUCGACUAUGUUGAAUAAAAUUCUAGGUAGAAUUAUGAUAAUGACAUUGUCUGCCUAUGUGUCUUGACCAAAUUACGUGCCAGCAGUCGCGGUAAUACGUAGAAGCCUAGUGUUAUUCAUGUUUAAUCGGUUUAAAGGGUACCUAGACGGUAAAUCAAGCCUAUAAAUAAAAGUAAUAAAGGGACUAAUUUACUAGAGUUACUUAUGAGGGGGUAUUAAAGUACUGCUGGUGUAGAGAUGAAAUUCUGUUAUACCUCUUUUCAAUAGAAAAAUUAUGGCACAGGUAUAGGCGAAGGCAUCCCCUUAUGUGAUAACUGACGUUGAGGGACGAAGGCUUUGUGUAGCGAACAGGAUUAGAUACCCCAGUAGUCAAAGCA
rnacentral:rRNA from 1 species